rnacentral:rRNA from 2 species
GGCGAACGGGUGAGUAACACGUGAGCAAUCUGCCCUUGACUCUGGGAUAAGCGCUGGAAACGGCGUCUAAUACUGGAUAUGAGCUGUGGCCGCAUGGUCGGCAGUUGGAAAGAAUUUCGGUCAAGGAUGAGCUCGCGGCCUAUCAGCUUGUUGGUGAGGUAAUGGCUCACCAAGGCGUCGACGGGUAGCCGGCCUGAGAGGGUGACCGGCCACACUGGGACUGAGACACGGCCCAGACUCCUACGGGAGGCAGCAGUGGGGAAUAUUGCACAAUGGGCGCAAGCCUGAUGCAGCAACGCCGCGUGAGGGAUGACGGCCUUCGGGUUGUAAACCUCUUUUAGCAGGGAAGAAGCGAAAGUGACGGUACCUGCAGAAAAAGCACCGGCUAACUACGUGCCAGCAGCCGCGGUAAUACGUAGGGUGCAAGCGUUAUCCGGAAUUAUUGGGCGUAAAGAGCUCGUAGGCGGUUUGUCGCGUCUGCUGUGAAAACUGGAGGCUCAACCUCCAGCCUGCAGUGGGUACGGGCAGACUAGAGUGCGGUAGGGGAGAUUGGAAUUCCUGGUGUAGCGGUGGAAUGCGCAGAUAUCAGGAGGAACACCGAUGGCGAAGGCAGAUCUCUGGGCCGUAACUGACGCUGAGGAGCGAAAGGGUGGGGAGCAAACAGGCUUAGAUACCCUGGUAGUCCACCCCGUAAACGUUGGGAACUAGUUGUGGGGUCCAUUCCACGGAUUCCGUGACGCAGCUAACGCAUUAAGUUCCCCGCCUGGGGAGUACGGCCGCAAGGCUAAAACUCAAAGGAAUUGACGGGGACCCGCACAAGCGGCGGAGCAUGCGGAUUAAUUCGAUGCAACGCGAAGAACCUUACCAAGGCUUGACAUAUACGAGAACGGGCCAGAAAUGGUCAACUCUUUGGACACUCGUAAACAGGUGGUGCAUGGUUGUCGUCAGCUCGUGUCGUGAGAUGUUGGGUUAAGUCCCGCAACGAGCGCAACCCUCGUUCUAUGUUGCCAGCACGU